rnacentral:rRNA from 1 species
AUUGAACGCUGGUGGCAGGCCUAACACAUGCAAGUCGAGCGGAGCGGCGGACGGGUGCGUAAUGCCUAGGAAUCUGCCUGGUAGUGGGGGAUAACGUCCGGAAACGGGCGCUAAUACCGCAUACUAUCAGAUGAGCCUAGGUCGGAUUAGCUAGUUGGUGGGGUAAAGGCCUACCAAGGCGACGAUCCGUAACUGGUCUGAGAGGAUGAACAUUCACCCUGGAACUGAGACACGGUCCAGACUCCUCCUACAACCAUCACUACAAAAUAUUAAACAAUGAUCGAAAGCCUGAUCCAGCCAUGCCGCGUGUGUGAAGAAUUUGUGCGGAUUUUAAUGCACUUUAAGUUGGGAGGCGUUACCAACAGAAUAAGCACCGGCUAACUUCGUGCCAGCAGCCGCGGUAAUAC